GUGCUAGCUUUGGCAGCACAUAUACUAAAAUUAGAAAAAUAGAGAAGAUUAGCACAGCCCUUGAGCAAGAUGACAGGCAAACUUAUGAAGCAUUCCAUAGAAAA